rnacentral:rRNA from 1 species
UACGUAGGGGGCGAGCGUUAUCCGGAUUUACUGGGUGUAAAGGGAGCGUAGACGGUUCUGCAAGUCUGAAGUGAAAGCCCGUGGCUUAACCGCGGAACGGCUUUGGAAACUGUGGAACUGGAGUGCUGGAGAGGCAAGCGGAAUUCCUAGUGUAGCGGUGAAAUGCGUAGAUAUUAGGAGGAACACCAGUGGCGAAGGCGGCUUGCUGGACAGUAACUGAUGUUGAGGCUCGAAAGCGUGGGGAGCAAACAGG